GACGAACGCUGGCGGCGUGCUUAACACAUGCAAGUCGAACGCGUGGCGAACGGGUGAGUAACACGUGGGUGAUCUGCCUUGCACUUCGGGGUAAGCUUGGGAAACUGGGUCUAAUACCGGAUAGUGCAAGAUGAGCUCGCGGGCUAUCAGCUUGUUGGUGGGGGAAUGGCUACCCAGGCGGGACGGGUAGCCGGCCUGAGCGGGUGUACGGCCACAUUGGUACUGAGAUACGGACCAGACGGCUACGGGAGGCAGUGGUGGAGAAUAUUGCACAAUGGGCGGAAGUCUGAUGUAGAGACGCUGCGGGUGGGAUGACGGCCUUCGGGUUGUAAACUCCUUUCGACAGGGACGCGGUACCUGUAUAAGAAGCACCGGCUAACUACGUGCCAGCAGCCGCGGUAAUAC
rnacentral:rRNA from 1 species